rnacentral:rRNA from 1 species
GACAGAGGUGCCGAGCGUUAGGCGGAAUCACUGGGCUUAAAGCGUGUGUAGGCGGACUUCUAAGUACCUUGUGAAAUCCCACGGCUCAACCGUGGAACGGCUGGGUAUACUGCCUGUCUUGAGCCAACUAGGGGCGAGCGGAACAGACGGUGGAGCGGUGAAAUGCGUAGAUAUCGUCUGGAACGCCAAAGGUGAAAACAGCUCGCUGGGGUUGUGCUGACGCUGAGACACGAAAGCCAGGGGAGCGAACGGA